rnacentral:rRNA from 1 species
AUUGAACGCUGGCGGCAUGCCUUACACAUGCAAGUCGAACGGCAGCAUGAUCUAGCUUGCUAGAUUGAUGGCGAGUGGCGAACGGGUGAGUAAUACAUCGGAACGUGCCCUGUAGUGGGGGAUAACUAGUCGAAAGAUUAGCUAAUACCGCAUACGACCUGAGGGUGAAAGUGGGGGACCGCAAGGCCUCAUGCUAUAGGAUCGGCCGAUGUCUGAUUAGCUAGUUGGUGAGGUAAAGGCUCACCAAGGCGACGAUCAGUAGCUGGUCUGAGAGGACAAUCAGCCACACUGGGACUGAGACACGGCCCAGACUCCUACGGGAGGCAGCAGUGGGGAAUUUUGGACAAUGGGGGCAACCCUGAUCCAGCAAUGCCGCGUGUGUGAAGAAGGCCUUCGGGUUGUAAAGCACUUUUGUCCGGAAAGAAAUCGCACUUACUAAUAUUAGGUGUGGAUGACGGUACCGGAAGAAUAAGGACCGGCUAACUGCGUGCCAGCCGCCGCCGUAAGAC